rnacentral:rRNA from 1 species
AUUGAACGCUGGCGGCAGGCCUAACACAUGCAAGUCGAACGGUAACAGGAAGAAGCUUGCUUCUUUGCUGACGAGUGGCGGACGGGUGAGUAAUGUCUGGGAAACUGCCUGAUGGAGGGGGAUAACUACUGGAAACGGUAGCUAAUACCGCAUAACGUCGCAAGACCAAAGAGGGGGACCUUCGGGCCUCUUGCCAUCGGAUGUGCCCAGAUGGGAUUAGCUAGUUGGUGGGGUAACGGCUCACCAAGGCGACGAUCCCUAGCUGGUCUGAGAGGAUGACCGGCCACACUGGAACUGAGACACGGGCCAGACUCCUACGGGAGGCAGCAGUGGGGAAUAUUGCACAAUGGGCGCAAGCCUGAUGCAGCCAUGCCGCGUGUAUGAAGAAGGCCUUCGGGUUGUAAAGUACUUUCAGCGGGGAGGAAGGGAGUAAAGUUAAUACCUUUGCUCAUUGACGUUACCCGCAGAAGAAGCACCGGCUAACUCCGUGCCAGCCGCCGCGGUAA